CUUUAUAAAUUAUAUUAUAUGGGUCAUUCCACCAGUACUGUUUACUUUUACUGCUCAUUAUUUUCCACCUCAAUAACACCCUCCAAAAGUCACCAACUACAGACACUAAGGUAUGAUUGCAAAGAAAUGAUGAUGGAGAAGCUUUGGUAGGCUCAAAAAUGUGCUCAGAAAACAUUUUGCAUAAUUUUGACAUAUUACUAAUAAAAAUAGUGAGUUUUUAUUCAAGUGUAAAAGUAACAUGGAAGAGGUGCAUCUAUUUAAGCCUCAGCCACAGUCCCAAAGUAAUGUUUGUAUUCAUAAUAAAUGUAUUCCUUCAGCAACAGUAAGUUAAACACCAAGGCAGUUCUUGCAGAAAGUCCCCACCUUUCCUUAUAAGGCCAUAGUAGGUCGCUAAAUUAUGGUGAGGAUCAUUACAUGUGUUCGUCCAUUUCAGGUAGAAAAUUCAAAGUCUUAAAUCUCACUAAUGAUCAGAUCAAGUCUGCCUUUUACGUCAAUUAGCUGAUGUGUUAUUAGUGUUGAGCUGCUCAGUACGGACAGAACCAGGCAAGAACGACCCAAAGCGUGUAUUUUUACAGCAUUUUGAAACCAUAGGUUGAUGAUCGUCCGUUUUUAACGAUCCUCACCGCAGUCGGCCGAGUCACUUUGUUUCGGUCAAUUUGCGCGCAUGACUUUUUGAUCUCAUCUGGGAAGAGAACUCUUUGGUUUCCACCGCUUGAUUUUUCAUUCAGAAGAUGGAUGCGCCCGUGAGAGCUCCCGACUCUCGUUCGUCCACCAGUUCUGACCAAGUAACAAUCCCCUUGAUGUUCAAGAAAGGGAGAAGAAGAUCUAGCUGACAAAAAAGAGGAUACAGGUAUCCAAGAGGGACAGUACGCCACCGGUGGGGCCCAUCGCCAAUUUAGAGGCAUUGUGGAGAAGACCUUUCCUGGGGAGGUGCAAGUAAGAUGAAGCCAGUAGGAUCUGGCCUGAACAUCUGGCCGCAGCCCGAUGACACCUCAGUCAUACCAAUUUAUGAUGUUUGCCGCACCCUUGAACCUCCUGCUUUAGUUUCUCCUGGCCCCUACAAAUUUGAAUGAGCACUCACACAGAGUUAAUCUUUACCAUACGCCGUGCACCAAAAUUGCUCAUCAUCAUCAUCCGAUGCCUUGCCUCAAUUGUUCUUCUCAGCUGUCUAUUGAUUGUCCAUGCUUCGAACCCAUAAAGUAGUAAUAGGAUUGGCUUGAUGUAACUUUUCAGUACUCGUUUUCCUGUUUCCAGUGACAGAUUGAUGUUCGUAAGUUUCUGUUUCAUUUUUUGGAAGGUUGCUUUUGCUAGGCAAAGGCUGCUUUUAAUUUCGGUGUGAUGAUGAUAUCAUGGUCCCUAAAUAUUCAAAAUGUUGUACUUGCUUGAGGGUGGUACCAUUGAUUUUGAUAUUGCAGGUUGGGGUUGGAGUUUUUCUACUUAUCACCAUUGUUUCAGUCUUCUUGAUGUUUAGUCGUAGGCCCAUGUUGUCACUCUCUUGUGCAAUGACAUUUAAUAGAUCCUGUAGGUGUUUUUCAUCUUCUGCUAUUAGGACUGUGUCGUCUGCAUUUCUUAGAUUGUUUACGAAAUGUCCCCCUAUUGAGAUACCAGGCAUUUGUUCUAUGUGUCUCCUGAUAUUUUCACUAUGCAGGGCGUUUUAAAUUUCAUUUCAUUCACUUAUUGCUAGCUUCACGUCUAAGAGCAAGUAAGAAUGCCACAGGUAUUCAAUUUCCGACAUUGAAACUGUAACCAUUCAGCUCUCUAUUUGCAACACUUUAUUUCUUUUUACCGUAGUAUCAUUGGACAUCAUUAGUCUGUUGAUUUGUCACAUCCACUCUACACUCAGUAAAACUAACAACUCCUGUCAGUCAAACUCAAAAGGCAGCGGAGACCAGUAUGUUUAUUGUAGGACCUGAUUGUAACAAUCCUCACUUUCGAUUUUCAAUAUAUCUCUUUUUCCUCCGUUCUUGUUUAUUCUUUUCAAAAAUACUGUGUCCAUUUACUGCAUUUGCUUAACAAAUAACUUUCUUGUAAAGAAAUAAUGCUUUUAAGUUUGAUACAAAGAAGUUCUAGUGAAAUAUUGUAUGCCGUAUUUUGUCCAGUAACGUUCCUCACCAUUUCACCAAAAUGUGUUGCCUUCCUCAUGAUUUGCCAUUUUGAAUAUGUUUUUGUCUUUCUUAUGAUUUCUCAAUGUUUAUAUUUUUAUAAAGUGAUGACACUAUCUUUCAUCUAUGUGUACUUUGAUGAAGAAACUGAUAAUGGCGACAGUCAAUUUUUCUGGCAUUUUUCCUGUAACGUUCCUCACCAUUUUAUGCAAUUUUCUUAAACAGUGUUGUCUUUAAGUCAAAAUCUUUCAAGUGGUUUUGUGUCUUCUGGUAAAUAAAACAUGAGCACAAGAACAAAUCAA
rnacentral:lncRNA from 1 species